CGGGAUGUAGCUCAGCCUGGCAGAGCGCUGGCUUUGGGAGCCAGAAGUCGCAGGUUCAAAUCCUGUCAUCCCGA
rnacentral:tRNA from 1 species